CUCUUCCCAUUCCGAACAGAGAAGUUAAGCCCGCCAUCGCCGAUGGUACUGCACACCAGUGGGAGAGUAGGUAGCUGCCCCUU
rnacentral:rRNA from 1 species